GCCAGCAGCCAUAUCACCCUGCAACUCACAGCUGGCAGCCCACUGAAGCCCAGCAGGUCUGAGCCUGGUCAGUACCUGGAUGGGAGACUCCUGGGAAAACUAAGGUUACUGCUGGAA
rnacentral:rRNA from 1 species